ensembl:lncRNA
CUUUAGUGAACCACUGGCAGUCAAGACGGACAAUCCCUCGAUCUGGAGCCUCCAUACGAUGCAUGAGUGUGUGUGUGCAUGUGUGUGCUAAGUCACUUCAGUUGUGUCCAACUUUUGGCAGCCCUAUUGACUGCGACCAGCCCUACUGACCAGGCUUCUCUGUCCAUGGGAUUCUCCAGGCAAGAAUGCUGGAAUGGGUUGCCAUGCCCUUCUCCAGAGGAUCUUCCCAUGCCCUCCUCAAGGGGGUCAGACCCAGGGAUUGAACCAAUAUCUCUUAGGUCUCUUGCACUGGGAGGCGGGGUUCUUUACCACUAGUGCUGCCUGGGAAGCCUUGAGAUCCUCCGGUCCCAGGGAUCAAAACUGUGUCUUCUGCAUUGCCUGGCAGGGUUUUUUUUUUUUUUUUUUACCAGACCCAGUAACUGCAUCUAAAACACCCGUCCAGACCCCAUGUCUCUGGAGUGGGGACAAUGGACAUAAACUAGUUGGAGUUGUGCUUGGGGGUCGACACCAGCACCCAAAUGAGAAGAACAGAAACAUUUCCUGGAUACUUCACGUAGUAACUUGAAAAAAAAUAUCCUGGGGAAGCCACUAAUCGCUGCCAGUUGGCAGACUAGAGAAAACAUGAAGCUGGGAAUGUGUGAGUUACAAUUCGUCAUAAUUCCAGGCUCUGUAUGCAGACAGACAUAGAAAAUGUGGGCAAUUAAGUAAUUGAAGCAAAACCUUAUCUAUCUUUCUUUUUAUCUGAGCUUCUGGCCAAGAUAAACUUGAAAGGAAGAGUGUGUGGGCUUAUAAAAGUGAAUCAGAGGGUGGGGCUAAGAAAAGGGUGGUGCUAAAAUUGCUAAAAAUUACUCCUACAGUUCAGAGUUAAUUAACUCAGCCACAAUCUCUUACUAAAGGAACCCACUGCCAAUUCUGCUCCAGUGGAAGAAAGCAAGGUGUUGUAAAUAUGUCUCUGUUUAAAAAUAUUUAUUUAUGUUUUCUUUCUUCAUUGAAGUGCUUAGCUAAAUAACAAGUUAUCAAGACUUCCACAGAACAGAAAUGAUAGUUGAAGGCCAUCCCCCAAGAAUUCUGUGCAAGUCUGAGAGAUUUAACCCUGAACUGACUCAAAGAUUGUGCUGGAAAAAGGCUAAGCAGGAGAGCACCUUCAUUUCCAAAGAUGUGAGAGAGAUGGUUUUACCAUGAAUUGUUAAACCAUGAAUGAUGUUUUCUCCAGUCACAUUUUUGGAUUUGCAACCUUUGUAUCUGUCAACAGAGGCAAAAAGAAAUAGGAUAGUCUCAGAAUGAUUGAACCAAAACCCUUCUACCCCUUCAAAAGAUUGGACAUGGCAACAUAAACUUGAUCUCACUCAUUUGUGUAGGGAACUAUUGAUCUGACUCUUUAUCCCCUACUCCUACCCAGCUUCAAGUCUUGGCCACCAUUCCAGGGGCCAUUAGCUUUCCCCUCUUUCAUAGAAUAAUCUAAGCCCCUAACCUUACACUACAUGCUUAUCAGAAACCCUGCCAGACUAUUAAUUCCCAGAGAAAUGGCUUUAGGUAAACUUAGAAGUGCUGGGAGUGUGGAGAGG